UACGGGGGGGGCAAGCGUUUGUUCGGAAUUACUGGGCGUAAAGGGCUCGUAGGCGGAUCCUUAAGUCAGGGGUGAAAUCCCGAGGCUCAACCUCGGAACUGCCUUUGAUACUGGGGAUCUUGAGUCCGGGAGAGGUGAGUGGAAUUGCGAGUGUAGAGGUGAAAUUCGUAGAUAUUCGCAAGAACACCAGUGGCGAAGGCGGCUCACUGGCCCGGUACUGACGCUGAGGUGCGAAAGCGUGGG
rnacentral:rRNA from 1 species